CAAUGUAUUAGUAGUUGGAGUGGUUCACAGUAAAAACACCUGCCAUAAAACUGUCAAUAGAGAGUCUGGACACUAGUGGCAGCCUGGAUAAGUGUUACUGACAAACCCUCAAAGAGUACCGCCUCUAAUCCCUUCAGGGGUUGGAAAUCUGCUAUGAAGUCUCCUUUGAAACUGUUCCUCGCAAACAUCUUGGACAGCACACCUGCCAAGCAAGCUCCUAGUAUCAGCCCUCAGUCAAGGUCUGUCAGAGCUGCUUGUCUUGGGAUGACUUUUACGAAAACUUGAGAGGGGCAGCCCACUAAUACAAAAAUGUGGAGAGGAUCUUCCUAACAUCUAUACUGGAGUCACGACAGCAGUGAGAAAGAUAGAAGAUAAAGUUACUUGAUGUUGUGAGCUUGAAUAACUUUCAUUAGAUGGACCAAACACAAACCCUGACCACAUCUGCAAAG